CUGCUCCUGAGACAAGGCAAUACCUGAGCAGACUCCCAGCUUUUUUCCUUCGGGUGUUUAGAAAUUCCCUUUGAUCAUUUGCCAUGGAAGCCAUGCAGCUCAUGGUGAGGCUACAUGAACAAUGGAAUGCUGAAGUGGGAGACUGGAUUGGCAGCCACACAAAGAAACGCUCGGCUCUGAAGAUGUAAUGAACCAGUUGAUAUAUUCUUGACAAAUUUUGAAAUAAACUUUUGGAAUUUUU